GUUUUUUGUUUGUUUGUUUAUUUUUAGUAUAGUGAUUACUGUGGGGUAGUUUUGAUGAUGUGACCCCUUUAGGUGCUGUGAUAACAUGAAUAAAAUCACUUGACUGUUCUUCCCGCCAUUUUUGUUUACUGAAAAACCAUGGAGAAAUGCUGUCAGGAAGAAAAAAGUAAGAUUUGUUUUGAGGAGACUGUGGGAUGUUUUUAAUGAAUGUAAUUGAGUGCAAUUGUGGAUUUUGCAGCCGUUAAAUGAAAUGGGACUCUGCCAGUCUUGUAUACAAGAAUAAAGUGGUAGUAAUAAGCUGCUAGUAGUCAGCAAGGAAUCCCUCCACCUUUUUGGAACUGAAGGCUUCUGCACCCAGCUUGAGCUGAUUAGGUCUGGGAAUUUUUACAGGCUUAAAGCUACCAGUGGAAUACACUCUUUUCCUUGUUUUGCAGUGUAUAAAUCUAAACUGGAGGCUGUUUUGGUAGGAGUCUUCAGCUUAUUGUGGGUUAUAGGUUUCCUACUUUUGCUGUUCUUUGUUGUUGUCAUCACCUUAGGAGGGUACCUCUACCAUGAACUGAGCGGUUUCAGUUUGGUGCAGUGCUUUGCUUAUAAGGAAGGAAGAAGUUGGACAGGGAAGCAACAGCUCCUUCUGAUCUUGAGUGGAUCUGUGUAAUUUUAUGUAUUUAACUUGAACAAGAGUUUAGAAUGAACUUGCCUGAUGUACAGCAAAGCUGGUUUGUUUAAUACAGUUGUAUUGUCCCAGUAAUGGAAGCUGAGAUAGAAAGAGCUGGUGUGUUUUUACUAGAGAAAGGUAUGGAAAAAAAGUUGAAGGACUGACAAACUUGGUUCCCUUGACCGAUGGGGGUAAUCAGGCCAGUCUGUCACCGGGUUGUUCUAGAUUUGACUUUUCUGGCUUGUAUAAUUUUUAGAAAGUUACCUGAUGACAGACUGAGCUGAGAAAACAAACCUGCAAAACAUUGCUACUUUAAUGAAAACCUGUCACUUUCAUUAGUGGCUGUUACCUGUUUACACUGUACCCUUUUGUAUGGAUUUAUUGGAACUGUAAGGAAUAUAAGGUAUUUUUCACCUUGUUGUGUAAGAUGACAGUGGAUUUUUGCUCUCCAGCUUUCUCUUAAUUUUCAGCGUCGGCACAGAAGAAUUGACACUGCUCUGAGACUGAUUUAUUUAAUUGAUCUAUGCUUUUGGUUGUUUCAGGUCAUUUCCAAGGCUUUUGUUUUCUGACAGGUUGUUGAUGUUUCAGCCUGCUCAUAUGGUUGUUGAACCUCAACAAGUUUAAAGUAAAAUUAAUUAUCUAGUUUUAUCAAAAUGCAUGGAGAAAAGCUGAAAAUUCCAUGAACCCAUGUCUCCUGCCCCAACUAAACCAGAGUUGGGUUCUACAAAAGGUUUUGUAGAAACUAAGCUUUUGCUCAGUUUUGACUAGAUGAGAUUACUUUUUAAAAGCAUUAAAUGUGUGUCAAUUAUCAAGACGUUCAUCCUCAUUUAAUUAAUACUGCGGUUCUUGGGAGAUGCAGAUACUACUUAGGCAGGUUGCUGGACACCUGGACUUGGCCCUGGAGUAACUUUAUGGGCUUUGCCUGCAGUAAGGGUAGAUGCUAUGUUGUUGUCUCAUUGAGAAUUGUUUGGUAGCUGUAAAUCAGUGUCCUCUAUAUGUGAUGCACAUCCCCAAGUCUGCAAAAAGAUUUAACUCAGCCUUUCCUUUUUACAAAACAUCAAAGGUAGCCAACUUAAAUCAUUGUAUGAUGUUCUGUCUGUUUAUAUCAUAGACUAUUGGAAAUACUCUGUGUUAAUUAAAAUGUCUGAAGAAAUAUGCUAACAUUUUUCCUAUUAUAAAUGGUAGGUAGAAUUGUAUAUUAAUUGACUAAUUUAAAAUGUCAGGAUGCUUUUUCCAAGCCAACCUCGUAUUAAUAGCAAGAAUCCUUUUGCUGAUGAAAUGGUCUCCAAUUAUCACAGCUUGGGUUUUGUUGUACAUUGAACAGAAGUCAACAAAACGAGUAUGUAAGAGAACCUGCCUAAAUAAGCAACCAUACUCAUUAAAAACACAAAAUUAAUCAUAGGAUGAAUGAAGAAGGCAAUGUUACAUAGAUUUUUUUUCGCUCCCCUUUCUAAUCAUAGAACAAAAUAAUGUUACAUGAAAGGAUCGGAACUAUUAUGUGGUACUCAAUUAUAAGGAGGUGAAUAGGUCCCUAACAUGCCAUUUUAUCAAAGGAGCAGGCUGGUGUUUACAUGAUGGCUGUUUCAUUACAGACACUGCCAUUAAUUCCAUGUGUCAAUACUGCCCUGUAGUGCAUAGAGCAGACAAGAAAGAGUUACCGCUCAAAACAAGGGAAUGAUUUUUGAGUCGUUAUCAAGCUAAAUGGCAAGCAGGAAGCUAGAACUUGUAUAGAUACAUUUGAAGGGACUCUUGGGAGAUAUGCAAUUGGAAGAAGAGAAUGCGUUUUACCAACUGUUUAAUUAUGGUGUGUUUCCAAGUAUACUUGAAUAGAAUGCUUUGUUUGCAUUAGAAAAAUGGAUGUUGCAAGAAGGGUUAUUUGAGUGUAUUGGAGGUCACGUAAGGAUGUUCAAAUAUGUAUAAAUAUUCAUACUGUGUGUUUGGACACAUCUCCGUGGAUACAGAAGUAUUCACGCUGCCACCUACUGGGGUGAAGUGUUCUCUCUUCUACUCUAUAAAAGGACCAUAAACAUCCAGUUUCUGGGUAAUGAAAUUAUUUCUGAGGGUAUAUGUGCCAGUCUGGGGUGAUUCCUGUGCUACUUUGUAUCUCACCUUAAACAGUCAGCACAUCUGCAGCUACCCCAAGCUGUCAAAGCUCAGUUGAGGUCUGUAAGCAGCCCGUGCUAAAUGGGGAGCUUGCUGAGGUUGGUAUAACUGAGACAGCUUGUACCAGGUAGGGGUCAGCUCUGUGGGCUCCUGUGGUGCUGUGCUGAAGUUGGCCAAGUGAUGCCUCUUGCAGUCCAACCCCAAAUUCUGUUAUUUAGAAGUUGAGUGUUUGGAACUUCUGAAGCUAGCUUUGUAGGUAGACCAAAUCAUUUCAUCUGUUUGUCUCCCUCUGUGUUUUUCCUCACUGAAAAACAUGCACAAGCUUGUGCAGUGUUCAGAGCUUGCAGUCAAGUCUUAACCAAUGAAAUAAUGCCAAGUUUUACACUAUUUUAGGACUAGAUUAUGGUUAGGGGAAAAAAAAAAAAAAAAGAGGCUGAUCCCUGCCUUCUCCUCUGAACAAUUAAUCCACCCAUCUUCUUUUGGUGGCCUAGCAUACUUCUGUCUUCAUACAGUUCCAUUUUUCCUGGGUAGCGUUUGUCUGGGGAAGGGUGUAUGGAGUUGAACCUCCUAAUAAAGAAAAAGGACAGCAAGCUUGUAACAACCAUGUUUGAUCCUGUUCAAGGACUUGAAAAGCAGGAACAGAUAGGUAACUGAUAAACAUCCGUGUUUCCGUGUUAUUUUAUGAAAUGUGAGCUCAGCCUAACUCAUAGUUAGCUUGUAGAGGAGGAAAUGCAUUGGGAAUGAAACUGAAAUGCAGUACGGUAUGGUUCAUGUGGUGCGCUUUGAGAUGAGUACAGUGAGCUGAGGAACACAGGAUUUUGAGCGUCAUUAAAAACCUACAAAUGCACUUUGUUGGCUCAGACUUUUAAGUUACAUUGUUAUGCAAAACUGUGUUUAUCUUCAAAUGACUUCCACCAAAAAACACAGGCCAAGACUUGCAUAUAAGUAUUUCUCAACUAUUGCAUCUGGUGUUCAGCAUCUCUGCAGACGAUUCAUUUGGAGAGAAAAAAAAUAGUGUUGUGUUCUGCAGUGUUUGUAGCAUGAUGGAAAAGUGAAGCAUGAAAGGUGAGUUGCAGAGAAAGCUAUGUCUCUGUAAUUGACAAAUUAUGACUUAAUAUUUACAGAUGUCUUUUAAGUUAUCCCUGUGUGUGGAGAUAGAGGGUUAAGAAGUGAGAAAACUUGCCUAUGUUUCUCUGAAGUUUAAGUUUCCUCUCUGCUUGCAACCACCGGUCUCUAAGUUGUAUUGUGCACAGAAGUUUGAGCCAGAAAGCUGGUUUAGCUAGGACAUUUACACGUGUAGAAGCAGGAAAGUCUGUUCCCACCUUUACACUCUAUGGUCUGUGUGGGUGCUUGCUCUCCAGCUUUCACUUAGUUUAUCAGUAUUGGCACCAGAAAGUUGCAUCAAAAUUGUUGUGGGAUUAUGCAAAACUUCUCCAGGUUUCAAAGUGGUUUCUAUUCUUUAAGCCCGUGUCUAUGUCCUUCAGUAACAACACUGUUCUGACCUGGCAUAUUUCUCCUUGGUCAUUGUUUUCCUGGUUUUGGUUGUUGGUUUGUUUGUUUGUUUGCUUCCUUUUUGCUGAACUGUUUCUUGAUCCUUUACUGGCCAUUUAUUUAUUACCAAUAAUAAAUCAUAAAUGACCAGUAAACUACAUGAUCUCAUGACUUCCAGCUGCAGUGUUGUGUUACAAACCAAGAGCAUGCGCUGUCGUUUUUAAAACAAAAAUCUAGAAUUCCCUGAACUUAGACAAGCAAGGGUGAUUUCAUUCUGUGUGGGUAUGUUUUUACUUUUAGGACUUUGCUUUAAUUAUUUUUUUUUAAAGAUUUACUGUCCAGGUUAUUUGGCUCCAAAAAUAAAUGCAAGUAAAGACUUGCUCUCCACAUUAUUCUGCUCCAAAAAAUAAGUAUGAAAAAUGACUUCUGAAGCUUGAACCUGAGUUAGGCGGCACUGAAGAGCAGUUGCAAGGCUGAUCACAGAUUUCAAAGGACUCUUGUAUUACAGUGUUUAAAGUUUCAAAGCCAAAAAGGCUUCAGAUGCAUAGAUUUUGUUGUUGUUGUUUUUUUCCUUCUGCUGAAAAAAAUGUCUUUGCUAUUAGACGCGAUUUGAAAGCACUCUGGCUUUGCCUUGGAGGACAUCUGACAGCAGACUGGAAGGGCUCUGG